AUGAUGGACUAUAGGACAGGACUGCUGCUUUUAACUGUCUGCUGGGCAGGUGUUGAUGGUCAGACUCUGACAGAAUCUGAACCACUGGUUAAAAGGCCUGAAGAAUCCCACAGAUUGACCUGUACAGCCUCUGGAUUCACAUUCAGCAGCUACCCUAUGAACUGGGUCAGACAGGCUCCUGGAAAAGCACUGGAGUGGGUUGCUUACAUCUAUACUAGUGGCAUCUACUCUCAGUCAGUUCAAGGCCGGUUUACCAUCUCCAGAGACGACAGCAGACAGCAGGUGUAUCUGCAGAUGAACAGUCUGAAGACUGAAGAUUCUGCUGUUUAUUAUUGUGCUCGACAGCCUCACAUGGAGAUGCAGCACUGUGAUUACUUCGACUACUGGGGUCGUGGGACUGAAGUCACAGUAUCUACAGGAACACCCACACCACCAACACCACCCACUCUGUUCCCUUUGGUUCAGUGCCAACCUGGGUCUGGAGAUAAAAUCACUGUUGGUUGUUUUGCACGUGACUUCUACCCAAAGAGUCUUACAUUCCAGUGGACCGAUGCCAGUGGGACCACCCUGACUUCUGAAAAUUAUCCUCCAGCUGAGAACAACAACAAAUAUACAGGAGUCAGUUUGGUCAAAGUAUCAAAAUCUGAUUGGGAUUCAAGGAAGUCUUUUAAAUGUUCUGUAAAUCACAACGGAUCUCCCACAAAUCUGCAUGUUCAAAAGCCUCCAAAAGUGACUUUGCUAUCAGUGCCAAGUGAAGACACCCAGGCCCUGGUGUGCACGCUUGAGGGCGGUAAUGGAAAACUUGACUCAUUCAAGUGGAAAAAGAAUGACGCAGAGUUGAACGACUACAUUCAAAGUCCCAUCCAAAAAACUGGAGACUUGUAUUCAGCUGUCAGUGUCCUGAAGGUCAACAACGCAGACUGGGACAGUAACGCUGUGUAUACCUGUGAGGUGACUUACAGAGAAACACAAUAUAAAAAGAAGGCCUCAAAAGCUCCAAUCAAAGUGACACUGAACCAACCAAGUGCCAAAGAAAUUUUCAGCAACAACCGGGCAGAGUUGGAGUGUAUCAUUACAGGACAAGACAAGACCAUUGUAAAUACAAUUCAAAUCACUUGGCAAAUUGAUGGACUAGAUGUGACCAACAACAUUGCUGAAUCAACUGUCAAGUCUGUAGGCGUUCAGCACAGCAAAACCAGCACGAUAACUCGUAGUCUGUCUGAGUGGCAGAGAGUCAACAAAGUGCGCUGUUCUGCUAUUAGAGACGAUAUGACUCCAGUUAUUCAAGAUCUGACUGUCCACAAAGGAGAUGGGAGUGAGCCAAAAGUGACAGUCUAUGUUCUCCCAGAGGAGGACAUCAGCAACGGAGCUGAGGUCUCUCUGGUGUGUGUGGUCUCUGGUCCUGUGCUGCAGGAUUACUACAUCGCCUGGUCAGAAGGUUCUGGAAAUAAGGCCGACAUCUAUAUGAAUGGCAUCAACUUCCCCCCACAGAAGAUCCAACAAGACUACUUAGUUACAAGUAUUUACACCACCACCAAGGAAAAGUGGGACAAGCACAACAUGUUCAACUGCAACAUCUGGUCUGCUGGUAGAAAUGAGUCUGUGAAACCCAAAGGAGUGUCUAAGGCCCAGGAUUUUCCACCAGAGUCAAAACUGAGUUUGGCUCUGAGCUGCAUAGAGGAUGCCAUUGAAGAGGAUGAGUUCAGCAGUCUGUGGUCCACAACCUCCUCCUUCAUAUUCCUCUUCAUAUCCUCUCUCUUCUAUAGCAUGAUAUUCAGCCUGGUCAAGAUGAAGAGACGAUAAAGGAUGAGAUGGAUGGACAGCAUAGACGACUACAGGUCUCCAGUUUUACUUUUUCUUUUUUAUUUAGUUUUAAAACUUGUACAUUAUCAAUAAUCUACUGCACAUCUACUAAAUGAAGUGGUUGUCAUAGUCAAUGAUAAACUAAACAUUGAAAAUGGAAUUCUUAACUGUUUAUAUGAAUAAAUUUAGA